rnacentral:rRNA from 1 species
UACCUCCUACGGGGCGCAGCAGUGAGGAAUAUUGGUCAAUGGCCGAGAGGCUGAACCAGCCAAGUCGCGUGAGGGAAGACGGCCCUACGGGUUGUGAACCUCUUUUGUCGGGGAGCAAAGAGAGUCACGUGUGACUCAUUGAGAAUACCCGAAGAAAAAGCAUCGGCUAACUCCGUGCCAGCAGCCGCGGUAAUACGGAGGAUGUGAGCGUUAUCCGGAUUUAUUGGGUUUAAAGGGUGCGCAGGCGGAGGUGCAAGUCAGCGGUCAAAUUGCGGGGCUCAACCCCGUACUGCCGUUGAAACUGC